GUUCAAGAUCGUCUCUCAGCUCUGGAGUCACGAGUUCAGCAACAGGAGGACGAGAUCACUGUGCUGAAGGCAGCGCUGGCUGAUGUUUUGAGGCGUCUUGCAAUCUCUGAAGAUCAUGUAGCCUCAGUGAAAAAGUCCAUGCCAAGUAAAGGCCAACCAAGUCUUCGAGAAGCUAUUUCUAUGUCCUGUAUAACCAAUGGAAGUGGUAUAAACAGAAAACAGAACCAUACCAGCUCUAUAUCGAUAGCAAGAAAAGAAACUCUUUCUUCAGCUGCUAAAAGUGGUACAGAAAAAAAGAAAGAAAAGCCACAAGGACAGAGAGAAAAAAAAGAGGAAUCUCAUUCUAAUGAUCAGAGCCCACAAAUCCGAGCAUCACCUUCUCCCCAGCCCUCUUCACAGCCUCUCCAAAUAAACAGACAAACUCCAGAGAGCAAGAGUUC
rnacentral:lncRNA from 1 species